AACUUUUGCUUAUUGGAGAUUCAGGUGUUGGAAAACCAUGCUUGCUUCUAAGAUUUGCGGGCCAAAAAUGAAAGUUGUUGCUGUUUUUUAAAAACCGGUCGGCUCCGCUCUCUCCUAGUCUCGGACGUCGGAUCCUCCUUCCUCUCAGACCUCGGCUUCUGCCUUCUCCAUGGCGGACAAAAGCUCCGCAAACUCUCCAAAGUUUCACUUCGGCUCGCAAAUCCCCUCCUUUUUCUGCCAGGAGACAGGCAUCCAUUGCAGCAAGCACCCGCCCGUGGUCCUCCCACAAGACCCCUUCAUCGAUCUCGUUUCCUUCGUUCUAUCCCAGCCCCAUCGCGGCGUCACUGCCCUCGUCGACUCCACCACCGGCGCUUCACUCUCCUACGCCGACCUUCGCCGCAUGGUCGCAUCCUUCUCUUCUGGCCUCUCCCAGAUCGGCGUCACUGCCAAUGACGUCGUCCUCGUAUUGCUACCCAACAUCAUUCUCUUCCCCGUUAUCUUCCUGGCUAUCCUCGCCGCUGGCGCGAUUUUCUCCUCCAUGAACCCGCUAAGCAAGCCCGAUGAGGUCGUGAAACAAAUGAAACAGUGCCGAUUUACCCUAAUUUUUACCACCGCCGAGAAUGCGCCCAAUUUGACCGGAUUGGGCGUUAAGAUUGUCAUCGUGCCUGAAGAACCCGAUUCCAGUCCGUCCAAGUUUUCUCAUUUCUACAGUCUCAUGUCGAACCGCCCUACCGACGCCCCGAGGCCGGUGAUUCGUCAGACGGACGCGGCGGCGAUACUGUUCUCGUCGGGCACAACCGGAGACAUCAAGGGAGUCGUUCUCACCCAUAGAAAUUUGAUUGCCGCGGUGGAGCUUUUUGUGGGGUUCGAGGCGUCGCAGUGCGAGCGUGAAAGCUGUAAGGAUGUCUACCUCGCCGCUAUCCCCAUGUUCCAUAUCUACGGGCUUUCCCUCUUCUCGAUGGGUAUCUUGUCUUUCGGCGCGGCCAUUGUCGUGAUGAAGAAGUUUGAUGUGGCCGAGGCGGUGAGGGUUAUAGAUGCAAUGAAGGUCACUCAUUUCCCAGUGGUUCCACCGAUUCUGGCAUCGCUGGCAAGGUCGGAGGGGACUGGUGGCUCUCGGUUGGAGACUCUAGUGCAAGUAUCUUGCGGCGCGGCUCCUCUGAACCAAAAAGUGAUGCGUGACUUCUUGAAUGCCUAUCCUCACGUAGAUUUAAUUCAGGGAUAUGGCUUGACGGAAUCUUCUGCAGUAGGAACUCGUGGUUUCAAUACAAUAAACUCCAAAAAGCAUACUUCUGUGGGAUUGCUAGCUCCAAACAUGGAAGCUAGGGUAAUUGAUAUAGAAACAGGGUUCUCUUUGCCUCCAGGUAGCAGCGGAGAGCUGUUGCUACGGGGACCAGCAAUUAUGAAAGGUUAUUUAAACAAUGAGAACGCUACCCUGUCUACAGUUGUGGAGGAUGGUUGGCUGAAAACAGGUGACAUAGCAUAUUUCGAUCAAGAUGGAUUCUUGUUUAUAUUGGACCGCUUAAAAGAAACCAUCAAGUACAAAGGGUUUCAGGUACCUAUUGCAAGUAUUAGUAAUGAGGAAAUGCGAUUCCUAUGAAAAUUUUCACAGAUAGCUCCUGCUGAUUUAGAAGCGCUCUUGAUCACACAUCAAGAAGUCCAAGAUGUUGCAGUUACAUCAGCUAAGAAUGAAGAAGCUGGGGAGAUACCAGUGGCAUUUAUAGUUAGAAGCUCAAGAAGUAAGCUAUCUUCCAGUGACAUAAUCAACUUCGUGGCUAAUAAGGUGGCACCAUAUAAGAAGGUCAGAGAGGUCGUCUUUGUUAACUCAAUUCCCAGAUCAGCAUCAGGAAAAGUACUUAGAAGGAAACUGCGUGACAGUUUAGCCUAUUCCAAACUGUAGUUCAACGGCCAUUCGAGUCAGCUUCCACUUUGCCUAAAUUGGUUUUAUAUAUAUAUUUAUUAAAAAUGAAUUCUUAUGUGAUUUA